GACGAACGCUGGCGGCGUGCUUAACACAUGCAAGUCGAACGAAGAGCGACGGAAGCUUGCUUCUAUCAAUCUUAGUGGCGAACGGGUGAGUAACGCGUAAUCAACCUGCCCUUCAGAGGGGGACAACAGUUGGAAACGACUGCUAAUACCGCAUACGAUCUAACCUCGGCAUCGAGGAUAGAUGAAAGGUGGCCUCUACAUGUAAGCUAUCACUGAAGGAGGGGAUUGCGUCUGAUUAGCUAGUUGGAGGGGUAACGGCCCACCAAGGCGAUGAUCAGUAGCCGGUCUGAGAGGAUGAACGGCCACAUUGGGACUGAGACACGGCCCAGACUCCUACGGGAGGCAGCAGUGGGGAAUCUUCCGCAAUGGACGAAAGUCUGACGGAGCAACGCCGCGUGAGGGAUGACGGCCUUCGGGUUGUAAAGCUCUGUUAAUCGGGACGAAAGGCCUUCUUGCGAAUAGUGAGAAGGAUUGACGGUACCGGAAUAGAAAGCCACGGCUAACUACGUG
rnacentral:rRNA from 1 species